rfam:Rattus norvegicus chromosome 6, whole genome shotgun sequence.
GGGGAUUUAGCUCAGUGGUAGAGCGCUUGCCUAGCAAUUGCAAGGCCCUGGGUUCGGUCCCCAGCUCCG